rnacentral:rRNA from 1 species
UACGUAGGAGGCUAGCGUUGUCCGGAUUUAUUGGGCGUAAAGAGCGUGUAGGCGGCCUGGUAGGUCUGCUGUGAAAACUCGAGGCUCAACCUCGAGAUGUCGGCGGAAACCAUCUGGCUAGAGUCCGGAAGAGGAGAGUGGGAAUUCCUGGUGUAGCGGUGAAAUGCGCAGAUAUCAGGAAGAACACCUAUGGCGAAGGCAGCUCUCUGGGACGGUACUGACGCUGAGACGCGAAAAGCGUGGGGAGCGAACAGG